UGGGGAAUAUUGGACAAUGGGCGAAAGCCUGAUCCAGCCAUGCCGCGUGUGUGAAGAAGGUCUUCGGAUUGUAAAGCACUUUAAGUUGGGAGGAAGGGCAGUUACCUAAUACGUGAUUGUCUUGACGUUACCGACAGAAUAAGCACCGGCUAACUCUGUGCCAGCAGCCGCGGUAAUACAGAGGGUGCAAGCGUUAAUCGGAAUUACUGGGCGUAAAGCGCGCGUAGGUGGUUUGUUAAGCUGGAUGUGAAAUCCCCGGGCUCAACCUGGGAACUGCAUUCAAAAACUGUCAAGCUAGAGUAUGGUAGAGGGUGGUGGAAUUUCCUGUGUAGCGGUGAAAUGCGUAGAUAUAGGAAGGAACACCAGUGGCGAAGGCGACCACCUGGACUGAUACUGACACUGAGGUGCGAAAGCGUGGGGAGCAAAACAGGAUUAGAUACCCUGGUAGUCCACGCCGUAAACGAUGUCAACUAGCCGUUGGGAGCCUUGAGCUCUUAGUGGCGCAAGCUAACGCAAUUAAGUUGACCGCCUGGGGAGUACGGCCGCAA
rnacentral:rRNA from 1 species